rnacentral:rRNA from 1 species
UACGGGGGAGCAAGCGUUGUUCGGAUUUACUGGGCGUAAAGGGCGCGUAGGCGGCCACUGCAAGUCGGUUGUGAAAUCUCCGGGCUUAACCCGGAAAGGUCAAUCGAUACUGCAGGGCUAGAGUGCAGAAGGGCAACUGGAAUUCUCGGUGUAGCGGUGAAAUGCGUAGAUAUCGAGAGGAACACCUGCGGCGAAGGCGGUUGCUGGGCUGACACUGACGCUGAUGCGCGAAAGCCAGGGGAGCGAAGCGGG